ACAGCAGCAGCCACGGGAAUACGAAGGGGGCUAGCGUUGCUCGGAAUUACUGGGCGUAAAGGGAGCGUAGGCGGAUCGAUUAGUCAGGGGUGAAAUCCCGGGGCUCAACCUCGGAACUGCCUUUGAUACUGUCGAUCUUGAGUAUGGGAGAGGUGUGUGGAACUCCGAGUGUAGAGGUGAAAUUCGUAGAUAUUCGGAAGAACACCAGUGGCGAAGGCGACACACUGGCCAAUUACUGACGCUGAGGCUCGAAAGCGUGGGGAGCAAACAGGAUUAGAUACCCGAGUAGUCCCUGUCUCUUAUAC
rnacentral:rRNA from 1 species